rnacentral:rRNA from 1 species
UAGGGAAUUUUCGUCAAUGGGGGAAACCCUGAACGAGCAAUGCCGCGUGAGUGAAGAAGGUCUUCGGAUCGUAAAGCUCUGUUGUAAGUGAAGAACGGCUCAUAGAGGAAAUGCUAUGGGAGUGACGGUAGCUUACCAGAAAGCCACGGCUAACUACGUGCCAGCAGCCGCGGUAAUACGUAGGUGGCAAGCGUUAUCCGGAAUCAUUGGGCGUAAAGGGUGCGUAGGUGGCGUACUAAGUCUGUAGUAAAAGGCAAUGGCUCAACCAUUGUAAGCUAUGGAAACUGGUAUGCUGGAGUGCAUAAGAGGGCGAUGGAAUUCCAGGUGUAGCGGUAAAAUGCGUAGAUAUAUGGAGGAACACCAGUGGCGAAGGCGGUCGCCUGGUCUGUAACUGACACUGAGGCACGAAAGCGUGGGGAGCAAAUAGG